rnacentral:siRNA from 1 species
UUCACGGAGACCCUGAUGUAC